AGGAUAGGUUGUCAGAACUUGGUUUGAAAAAUUAUUGCCAAGUCUGCAACUGAUUUCUGU
rnacentral:precursor_RNA from 1 species